AGUACUAUGGAGGCCAGCAUUGUGCUCAGUAUACUUUGAAACUUUUCUAUUCUACUGGAGCUGCUGGUCAGAGGAUGGGAAAGCAGGCAAGAGCCCUGGGAUAUAUCGUUUCCAAGACACCUGAUGUCCAUAUCAUGUGCACGGGCAAACUACUUUCCCCACAGUUCCUGGAAUCUAGUGUGCUGCUAUUGCAACCUUCAAGGUGCAUGGAAAAAAGCUGAUGAGACCUCAGAAACUUCUACCACCACAAGAAAUGGUCUUACCAUUGCCACCUUCAAAGGAGUGGAAGCCAGCCCCUCUCAAAGGUAUACGUUCACCAGUCCCAGGACUAUCCCAAAGAGCUUUCCUUGACAAAACCAAAACUGACUAGCUAAGACAGCUAGCCUGCAUCCUUAAGUAUCAGUAACUGAAACUCAUCCAAGCAAAUGUAAUCAGAAGCAGAUGAGGACACUUCCUUUGGUAUACUGGUGACUUUCUGUUUGAUGGCUGGGGACAGACACCACAACUAAGACCAUACUCCACACCUUUCAGAGGAAACAAAAUGUGCUUAUUGUGGGGGGAAGCAUCCUUCCCAGAUACAGAACUGAAAUGGAUGUCUCCACCCUCAGACCUACUUGGAUGUCUCCAUCCUCCUACUUGGUGGAAGCACCUUUGGCAGCAUUUACAGCCACGAGUCUCCACCAACUUUGCACACCUACAGUAUCUGUUUCGGGGUUGUUGUUGUUUAGAUUGUGAGCUCUUUUGGAGAGGGGACAAAUUUUUCCCCAUUUAUUUAUGCAACCACUAUGUAAACCACUUUGAGAACUUUUUUGUUGAAAAUUAGAAUAUACUGUACAUCAGUCAUCAUCAUCAUCAUCAUGGCUCAUAUUCUGUGCAGUGAAACAUGAAUGUUUUAAGUACCACCCCAUGCUGCUUAAAAGCACAAUCACAGUUGUGUGAUGCUACAUCAGUUGAAAUCAUGGACAUAGUGUCAUGCAACUACAAUUGCUAUUUUACUGCAAUUGCGCAAUUUUACAUCACAGCAAAAUGCCCGUGUUCCACAACACCGCAGACAAUGUCUGAGAUGCAAGCAGCAGUGGGGUCAGUACUGAACUGUCUAUAUUUCACUGCACAGAAUGCAAUUCAGUAAAAAUCAUAAUGUUGUACACAGACAUAAAGAAGAACUGCUUGUGACUAAACCACACAGCAACAGAAAACAGGCCACUGAAUAAUAGAAUGUUUUUGUGACAUAUUGGGGGCUAUGGAUGUUCAGUGUGGGCUAAAGAAUGCAGAUUGGAAAGUGCUCAACACAGAAAGGUAUGUCAUUGGCAAAGGAGAAUUAAACUCUAAUUAGCAUCAUGGCA